CGGCGUGCCUAAUACAUGCAAGUCCGACGAACGAACUCUGGUAUUGAUUGGUGCUUGCAUCAUGAUUUACAUUUGAGUGAGUGGCGAACUGGUGAGUAACACGUGGGAAACCUGCCCAGAAGCGGGGGAUAACACCUGGAAACAGAUGCUAAUACCGCAUAACAACUUGGACCGCAUGGUCCGAGUUUGAAAGAUGGCUUCGGCUAUCACUUUUGGAUGGUCCCGCGNGCGUAUUAGCUAGAUGGUGGGGUAACGGCUCACCAUGGCAAUGAUACGUAGCCGACCUGAGAGGGUAAUCGGCCACAUUGGGACUGAGACACGGCCCACGCGUGUGGUUUUAACUCCUACGGGAGGCAGCAGUAGGGAAUCUUCCACAAUGGACGAAAGUCUGAUGGAGCAACGCCGCGUGAGUGAAGAAGGGUUUCGGCUCGUAAAACUCUGUUGUUAAAGAAGAACAU
rnacentral:rRNA from 1 species